GCCAUGGUUCAGUGGGAGAUCAUCUGCUUUGCAUGUAGAAGGGCACAGGUUCGAGCCCCAGCAUCUCUGGUUAAACA
rnacentral:tRNA from 1 species